CAUGGUUGUCGUCAGCUCGUGUCGUGAGAUGUUGGGUUAAGUCCCGCAACGAGCGCAACCCUUAUUGCUAGUUACCAUCAUUAAAGUUGGGGGACUCUAGCGAGACUGCCAGUGAUAAACUGGAGGAAGGUGGGGAUGACGUCAAAUCAUCAUGCCCCUUAUGACCUGGGCUACAAACGUGAUACAAUGGCUGAAACAAAGGGCAGCGAAGCAGUGAUGUGAAGCGAAACCCAAAAAAGCAGUCUCAGUUCGGAUUGAAGUCUGCAACUCGACUUCAUGAAGUCGGAAUCGCUAGUAAUCGCGAAUCAGAACGUCGCGGUGAAUACGUUCUCGGGGUUU
rnacentral:rRNA from 1 species